rnacentral:rRNA from 1 species
UACGGAGGGUGCAAGCGUUAUCCGGAUUCACUGGGUUUAAAGGGUGCGUAGGUGGGUUGGUAAGUCAGUGGUGAAAUCUCCGUGCUUAACAUGGAAACUGCCAUUGAUACUACUGAUCUUGAAUUUUCUGGAGGUAAGCGGAAUAUGUCAUGUAGCGGUGAAAUGCUUAGAUAUGACAUAGAACACCAAUUGCGAAGGCAGCUCACUACACGAAUAUUGACACUGAGGCACGAAAGCGUGGGGAUCAAACAGG